rnacentral:lncRNA from 1 species
AGACAGUUUUAUUUAAAUUUCCCAAUUUUUAUUUAGAUUUCCUUUUGAUCUCAGCUCACCGCAACCUCCAUCUCCCGGGUUCAAGUGAUUCUCCUGCCUCAGCCUCCCAAGUAGCUGGGAUUACAGGCAUGCACCACCACACCCAGCUAAUUUUGUAUUUUUAGUAGACACAGGGUUUUUCCAUGUUGGUCAGGCUGGUCUCAAACUCCCGACCUCAGGUGGUCCACCUGCCUCAGCCUCCCAAAGUGCUGGGAUUACAGGCAUGAGCCACCGUGCCCAGCCUGAGUGUUAAAAGUUUUUAAAGCAAAAAGCUCAAUCUUUGUUAAUAAACAGGAACAAAGUUAAA